UUGUGCCCCAGGAGAGAAGCAGACUGCCCCAGCGUCCUCGCAGGGUUCGGCCGAGGCCUCGUCUCAGAACACAGUUAUGAGGGGCUCCUCAGGCAUCCCCUUCUCCUCGUCCGCAAAGAAAAUCCUGCCUUGCCUACCCCAAGGAUUGCACGGUGGUGAUUGACGGGAUAAGCCUGCCUCAGCCCUCGCGCAGCCACUGGCAGAACUGGACCUGGAACCAAGGCCUCCGGGCUCCUGGUCCCACUCCGGCCGGGCAGGUCCACCGGCACACACUGCCACAUCUGUCAAACUCAGGUUCCCCUACGGUUUCCUCUCUUACUUCGUAACUUCUAGCCAGUGUGCUCAUGAGCUUCUCUCAGAACUCUGUGGUCAAGAAUGGAUGACGGGGUGCGACCCCGACAACCCCGAUCCGGGAGCCACUGUGACACAAGGUGGGACUCCCAGCAGAAGGCUGCGGGCAGGGAAGGCAAGACUCGCUGCCAGAGGCCCCGGAGCAGGGGUCUGCCUGGUACCCAAUAGCUGCCACAUCAGACCAACCCCACUUUGUUUACGUGGAGUUAAAAAACAAAACAAAUGAAGAGAUCACAAAGUUGGUUUUCCACCAGGGCUGAGGUUGGGGGAGUGGAAAGGGGAAAGUGCUGCCUUAGCAUCCCAAGGAGCCACUGAAGGAAAGACGAGAGGCAAACCUUUU